AGGAAUACAGCUUAACGGUGCAACAUUAGAAAAUGUUGACCAUUUCCGCUACCUUGGUAGCCACCUCUCCACAAAAGUCAACAUCGACACUGAAAUACAACACCGCCUGAGCUCUGCGAGUGCAGCAUUUUUCCGUAUGAAGCAGAGAGUGUUUGAUGACCGGGACAUCCGUAGAGAGACCAAGGUGCUUGUUUAUAAAGCCAUUGUCCUCCCAACCCUGCUCUAUGCCUGCGAAACGUGGACUGUGUACAGACGUCACACCAAACUCCUGGAGCGUUUCCAUCAGCGUUGUCUCAGGAAAAUCCUGCAAAUCUCUUGGGAAGACAGGCGGACAAAUGUCAGCGUGCUUGAGGAAGCAAAGACCACCAGCAUUGAAGCGAUGCUCUUACGCCAUCAACUCCGUUGGACUGGCCACGUUGUCCGAAUGCCCGAUCACCGUCUCCCAAAGCAGCUCCUCUACUCUGAACUCAAGAAUGGGAAACGGAACGUUGGAGGGCAGGAAAAGAGAUUUAAAGAUGGGCUCAAAGCCAACCUUAAAAACUGUGGCAUAGACACUGAGAACUGGGAAGCCCUGGCCCUUGAGCGCUCUAAUUGGAGGUCAGCUGUGACCAGCAGUGCUGCGGAGUUUGAAGAGGCACGAACGGAGGGCUUAAGGGAGAAACGUGCCAAGAGGAAGGAGCGUCAAGCUAACCCCGACCGGGACCGCCUUCCACCUGGAAACCGAUGUCCUCACUGCGGGAGAAUAUGCGGGUCAAGAAUCGGUCUCUUCAGUCACCUAAGAACACACGCCCAAGAUACCAAGGAUGAAGCCAUGCGAACCGAGUUGCACAAACUCCGUCGGAAGCUGGCCGAGCAGGAAAAGAAGCUGCACAGCACCGUCAAGCGCUUGCACUCCACCAACCAACUGAAAGAAAACAUGGAGAGAGUGAUCAUCGAUCAGUGUGAGUGAGCUUUACUUACCUUCCUCUCUCUUUUUCCCUCUCCCUUUUGUACUCCAGGGUUACGUAAUUUUACUCUAUUACUAUUGUUACUAUUACAUUUAUUAUUCCCUUAUUUAUUCUUAUUGUUAUUACAUUUAAUAUUUUACUCAAUAAUAGAGUAAAAUAAUAAAUGUAAUAACAUUAAGAAUUACAUUUAUUAUUUUACUCUAUUAUUACAUUUAUUAUUUU
rnacentral:lncRNA from 11 species